rnacentral:rRNA from 1 species
UACAGAGGCCCCAAGCGUUGUUCGGAUUCACUGGGCGUAAAGGGUGCGUAGGUGGUAAGGUAAGUCGGAUGUGAAAUCUCCAGGCUCAACCUGGAAAUGGCAUCGGAAACUACCUUGCUCGAGGUUUGGAGGGGGGACUGGAAUACUUGGUGUAGCAGUGAAAUGCGUAGAUAUCAAGUGGAACACCAGUGGCGAAGGCGAGUCCCUGGACAACACCUGACACUGAGGCACGAAAGCUAGGGGAGCAAACAGG